rnacentral:lncRNA from 1 species
AUGUUGGUAUCGUAAGGGUUAAUUUUUUAAAAAGAGUUUCGCGCAGCGGAUUAAAAACUCAGAGAGCGUACAGCGUAACAAGUCACAGUUGAAACAAUUUUGCCUUUUUUAAGUCAAACAAUUUUCUUUCAGAAAAUUUACCAAGCAGAUAACGUGCGUUAAUAAUAAAAUGAGUAUAGGGCAGAAGAAAAUCACACAGGGAUUUUUAUACUGGUUCGAUUCAACAGAAUCUACGUCCAGUCGUUAAUCACUACAAAGAGUGAUUAACAGUUCCACUAAAAAUUGUUU